rnacentral:piRNA from 1 species
UAUUAGGACUUUCUUGGUAACAAGU